rnacentral:rRNA from 1 species
UACGUAGGGGGCUAGCGUUGUCCGGAAUCAUUGGGCGUAAAGAGCGUGUAGGCGGCCCGGUAAGUCCGCUGUGAAAGUCCAGGGCUCAACCCUGGAAUGCCGGUGGAUACUGUCGGGCUCGAAUCCGGAAGAGGUGAGUGGAAUUCCUGGUGUAGCGGUGAAAUGCGUAGAUAUCGAGAGGAACACCAGUGGCGAAGGCGAGUCUCUGGACGACUCCUGACACUGAGGCACGAAAGCUAGGGGAGCAAACAGG